UUGCAUAUCAGCAAAUGGCCCUCUUCACCAAAUGCCACCCUUCUCAGGGCCAAACAAUCAUUUAAUUCUAGAACAAACAAAACAGCAUGCAUCCGUGUGAUGAGAGUACAAAGCUGACAGAUAUUGAUAGCUCAAUGUGCUGGGGAAAAAAAAUGGGAAACCAGUGGAGGGGAUUUUUCUUCCUUUGGUCUCCAAGUUUAGUCAAGAAUACGGAGUAUAUUUGGGUCAUUGUUUAAUCUCAUUUUUGUGAGUGUGAUGACCAUUAGUGAUUUAUUUUCCUAGCUCUUCCACUCUCCCGGC
rnacentral:sRNA from 1 species